UGUGGCUGUGGCUCAGUGGUAGAGUGUCUGCCGGGCAUGCAUAAAGCCCUGGGUUCUAUCCCAAGUACCACAA
rnacentral:tRNA from 1 species